rnacentral:misc_RNA from 1 species
CGGAGGAAAAGAAACCAACAGGGAUUGCCCUAGUAACGGCGAGUGAAGCGGCAAUAGCUCAAAUUUGAAAGCUGGCCUUCUGGUCCGCAUUGUAAUUUGUAGAGGAUGCUUUUAGGCAGCCGCCGGUCUAAGUUCCUUGGAACAGGACGUCAUAGAGGGUGAGAAUCCCGUAUGUGACCGGCUCUGGCACCUUCUGUAAAGCUCCUUCGACGAGUCGAGUUGUUUGGGAAUGCAGCUCUAAAUGGGAGGUAAAUUUCUUCUAAAGCUAAAUACUGGCGAGAGACCGAUAGCGCACAAGUAGAGUGAUCGAAAGAUGAAAAGCACUUUGGAAAGAGAGUUAAAAAGCACGUGAAAUUGUUGAAAGGGAAGCGCUUGCAAUCAGACUUGGCUUCGAGUGUUCAACCUGUCUUCUGACAGGCCUACUCAUUCGGAGCCAGGCCAGCAUCAGUUUCGGCGGCCGGAUAA